CACACACAAAAGACAGCGUGAUCUGCACUGCAGCUCUCGAUCACUCAGUGCCCUCUGCAGGACGGUAGGAGAACUGCAGGUGUGUGUUUUCCAGUGCUGAUCUGUGUGUGUGUGUGUGUGUAGAUGAGGAGCUCCAGCUCGUGUGGCCCCUAUGCAAGGAACAUUCAUCCAUCAGUUAACGCCGGUCCCUCCUGUAGAGGGUGUAGUAACAGAAGCUCCCUCGUCACAGGAUGUCCAUGUAGCACGGCAACAGAUCACCAUGGAAACCAGCGACCACAUUCAACCCUGCUCCUACCAGUCCAAAUAGCAUCCUGAAGAGGUGAAUGUACAUCAGCGUUGCCUUCUGAUGGACGCUCUGCACUCAGAUUAUGGACACGCAAUGAACUUCCAGGUGACCUCAGCACCAAAAACACUGACUUGACUCAUUCCCCAGCUGGACUGUAGGACACCGCAGGGCCGCUUCAUGAGCUGAUGAUUGUUUUUUUAAUGUCUGUUGGACUGAAGCUCCUUCAGAGAGUUCAUAAAUAUGAAAACAUUGCGUUGAUAGAUGCGGAUAUGAUGUAAAAUAAUAAAGAAGAACACAUAUCGUCUUCCUCAGAUAUUAAGCUAUUGCAUCGUUAUAUUCUGUUGAUUUUCUUCUGUCAAGUGUUGGUUUUGUAGGAAUUUACACAAAUCUCAGUUGCCUUAAUUUUGAAUACAUCUGAAUUUUGUUUAAUAUCCGGC
ensembl:lncRNA